UGGGGAAUUUUCGGACAAUGGGGCGAAAGCCUGAUCCAGCAAUGCCGCGUGUGUGAAGAAGGCCUUCGGGUUGUAAAGCACUUUUUGUCCGGAAAGAAAUCCUUGGCUCUAAUACAGUCGGGGGAUGACGGUACCGGAAGAAUAAGCACCGGCUAACUACGUGCCAGCAGCCGCGGUAAUACGUAGGGUGCAAGCGUUAAUCGGAAUUACUGGGCGUAAAGCGUGCGCAGGCGGUUUGCUAAGACCGAUGUGAAAUCCCCGGGCUCAACCUGGGAACUGCAUUGGUGACUGGCAGGCUAGAGUAUGGCAGAGGGGGGUAGAAUUCCACGUGUAGCAGUGAAAUGCGUAGAGAUGUGGAGGAAUACCGAUGGCGAAGGCAGCCCCCUGGGCCAAUACUGACGCUCAUGCACGAAAGCGUGGGGAGCAAACAGGAUUAGAUACCCUGGUAGUCCAGCGCCCUAAACGAUGUCAACUAGUUGUUGGGGAUUCAUUUCCUUAGUAACGUAGCUAACGCGUGAAGUUGACCGCCUGGGGAGUACGGUCGCAAGAUUAAAACUUAAAUGAAUUGACGGGGUCAUAGCUGUUUCC
rnacentral:rRNA from 1 species